rnacentral:misc_RNA from 1 species
UGGCUCUGGCAUCGAUGAAGAACGCAGCGAAAUGCGAUAAGUAAUGUGAAUUGCAGAAUUCAGUGAAUCAUCGAAUCUUUGAACGCACAUUGCGCCCUCUGGUAUUCCGGAGGGCAUGCCUGUUCGAGCGUCAUUAGGACCAAUCACGCUAGUGAUGUUGGAGCCUGCGAUCCGCAGCUCUUAAAAUUAGUGGCAGUGUUAUAGGCUCUCAGCGCAGUAAUUUUUCCGCUGUUGAACCCUAGAGUCGCCCGCCAGAAACCCACUUAGGUUGACCUCGGAUCAGGUAGGGAUACCCGCUGA